UACGAAGGGGGCUAGCGUUGCUCGGAAUGACUGGGCGUAAAGCGCGCGCAGGCGGUUCUUCAAGUCAGUGGUGAAAGCCCGGAGCUCAACUCCGGAACUGCCAUUGAAACUGUAGAACUUGAGGAUAAGAGAGGUGAGUGGAAUUCCCAGUGUAGAGGUGAAAUUCGUAGAUAUUGGGAAGAACACCGGUGGCGAAGGCGGCUCACUGGCUCAUUUCUGACGCUCAGGCGCGACAGCGUGGGGAUCAAACAGG
rnacentral:rRNA from 1 species